UACGGAGGGUGCGAGCGUUGUCCGGAAUCACUGGGCGUAAAGGGCGCGUAGGCGGCAUGCCAAGCGUGUGGUGAAAGCCCGGGGCUCAACCCCGGGUCGGCCGUGCGGACUGGCGUGCUCGAGCACUGUAGGGGCGGGUGGAAUUCCGGGUGUAGCGGUGGAAUGCGCAGAUAUCAGGAGGAACACCGGCGGCGAAGGCGGGUCUCUGGGCAGUAACUGACGCUGAGGAGCGAAAGCGUGGGGAGCGAACAGG
rnacentral:rRNA from 1 species